rnacentral:rRNA from 1 species
CUGUUCCAACGGGGCGCAGCAGUGAGGAAUAUUGGUCAAUGGGCGCGAGCCUGAACCAGCCACGUAGCGUGAAGGAUGACUGCCCUACGGGUUGUAAACUUCUUUUAUAAAGGAAUAAAGUGAGGCACGUGUGCCUUUUUGUAUGUACUUUAUGAAUAAGGAUCGGCUAACUCCGUGCCAGCAGCCGCGGUAAUACGGAGGAUCCGAGCGUUAUCCGGAUUUAUUGGGUUUAAAGGGAGUGUAGAUGGGUUGUUAAGUCAGUUGUGAAAGUUUGCGGCUCAACCGUAAAAUUGCAAUUGAUAUUG